GACGGGUGAGUAACGCGUGGGAAUCUACCUUUUGCUACGGAAUAACUCAGGGAAACUUGUGCUAAUACCGUAUGUGCCCUUUGGGGGAAAGAUUUAUCGGCAAAGGAUGAGCCCGCGUUGGAUUAGGUAGUUGGUGGGGUAAUGGCCUACCAAGCCGACGAUCCAUAGCUGGUCUGAGAGGAUGAUCAGCCACAUUGGGACUGAGACACGGCCCAAACUCCUACGGGAGGCAGCAGUGGGGAAUAUUGGACAAUGGGCGCAAGCCUGAUCCAGCCAUGCCGCGUGAGUGAUGAAGGCCCUAGGGUUGUAAAGCUCUUUCACCGGUGAAGAUAAUGACGGUAACCGGAGAAGAAGCCCCGGCUAACUUCGUGCCAGCAGCCGCGGUAAUACGAAGGGGGCUAGCGUUGUUCGGAAUUACUGGGCGUAAAGCGCACGUAGGCGGAUACUUAAGUUAGGGGUGAAAUCCCAGGGCUCAACCCUGGAACUGCCUUUAAUAC
rnacentral:rRNA from 2 species